rnacentral:rRNA from 1 species
GACGAACGCUGGCGGCGUGCUUAACACAUGCAAGUCGAACGGUGAAGGGACCGGCUUUUGCUGGUUCUGGAUGAGUGGCGAACGGGUGAGUAACACGUGAGUAACCUGCCCCCUUCUUCUGGAUAACCGCAUGAAAGUGUGGCUAAUACGGGAUAUUCUGCGCCUGCUGCAUGGUGGGUGUGGGAAAGAUAUUGUUUCGGUGGGGGAUGGGCUCGCGGCCUAUCAGCUUGUUGGUGGGGUGAUGGCCUACCAAGGCGGUGACGGGUAGCCGGCCUGAGAGGGUGGACGGUCACACUGGGACUGAGACACGGCCCAGACUCCUACGGGAGGCAGCAGUGGGGAAUAUUGCACAAUGGGCGCAAGCCUGAUGCAGCGACGCCGCGUGAGGGAUGGAGGCCUUCGGGUUGUAAACCUCUUUCGCCAGUGAAGCAGGCCUGUCCCUUUUGUGGGUGGGUUGACGGUAGCUGGAUAAGAAGCGCCGGCUAACUACGUG